UACGUAGGGGGCAAGCGUUAUCCGGGUUUACUGGGUGUAAAGGGAGCGUAGACGGCAGCGCAAGUCUGGAGUGAAAUGCCGGGGCUCAACCCCGGAACUGCUUUGGAAACUGUGCAGCUAGAGUGCGGGAGAGGUAAGCGGAAUUCCUAGUGUAGCGGUGAUAUGCGUAGAUAUUAGGAGGAACACCAGUGGCGAAGGCGGCUUACUGGACCGUAACUGACGUUGAGGCUCGAAAGCGUGGGGAGCAAACAGG
rnacentral:rRNA from 1 species